rnacentral:rRNA from 1 species
UACGGAGGGUGCAAGCGUUAAUCGGAAUCACUGGGCGUAAAGCACACGUAGGCGGACUCUUAAGUCGGUGGUGAAAUCCUGGAGCUCAACUCCAGAACUGCCUUCGAUACUGAGAGUCUCGAGUCCGAGAGAGGUGAGUGGAACUGCGAGUGUAGAGGUGAAAUUCGUAGAUAUUCGCAAGAACACCAGUGGCGAAGGCGGCUCACUGGCUCGGUACUGACGCUGAGGUGCGAAAGCGUGGGGAGCAAACAGG